rnacentral:rRNA from 3 species
AAAUUGAAGAGUUUGAUCAUGGCUCAGAUUGAACGCUGGCGGCAGGCCUAACACAUGCAAGUCGAACGGUAACAGGAAGCAGCUUGCUGCUUCGCUGACGAGUGGCGGACGGGUGAGUAAUGUCUGGGAAACUGCCUGAUGGAGGGGGAUAACUACUGGAAACGGUGGCUAAUACCGCAUAACGUCGCAAGACCAAAGAGGGGGACCUUCGGGCCUCUUGCCAUCAGAUGUGCCCAGAUGGGAUUAGCUAGUUGGUGAGGUAACGGCUCACCAAGGCGACGAUCCCUAGCUGGUCUGAGAGGAUGACCAGCCACACUGGAACUGAGACACGGUCCAGACUCCUACGGGAGGCAGCAGUGGGGAAUAUUGCACAAUGGGCGCAAGCCUGAUGCAGCCAUGCCGCGUGUAUGAAGAAGGCCUUCGGGUUGUAAAGUACUUUCAGCGGGGAGGAAGGUGUUGUGGUUAAUAACCGCAGCAAUUGACGUUACCCGCAGAAGAAGCACCGGCUAACUCCGUGCCAGCAGCCGCGGUAAUACGGAGGGUGCAAGCGUUAAUCGGAAUUACUGGGCGUAAAGCGCACGCAGGCGGUCUGUCAAGUCGGAUGUGAAAUCCCCGGGCUCAACCUGGGAACUGCAUUCGAAACUGGCAGGCUUGAGUCUUGUAGAGGGGGGUAGAAUUCCAGGUGUAGCGGUGAAAUGCGUAGAGAUCUGGAGGAAUACCGGUGGCGAAGGCGGCCCCCUGGACAAAGACUGACGCUCAGGUGCGAAAGCGUGGGGAGCAAACAGGAUUAGAUACCCUGGUAGUCCACGCCGUAAACGAUGUCUACUUGGAGGUUGUGCCCUUGAGGCGUGGCUUCCGGAGCUAACGCGUUAAGUAGACCGCCUGGGGAGUACGGCCGCAAGGUUAAAACUCAAAUGAAUUGACGGGGGCCCGCACAAGCGGUGGAGCAUGUGGUUUAAUUCGAUGCAACGCGAAGAACCUUACCUGGUCUUGACAUCCACAGAACUUUCCAGAGAUGGACUGGUGCCUUCGGGAACUGUGAGACAGGUGCUGCAUGGCUGUCGUCAGCUCGUGUUGUGAAAUGUUGGGUUAAGUCCCGCAACGAGCGCAACCCUUAUCCUUUGUUGCCAGCGGUUAGGCCGGGAACUCAAAGGAGACUGCCAGUGAUAAACUGGAGGAAGGUGGGGAUGACGUCAAGUCAUCAUGGCCCUUACGACCAGGGCUACACACGUGCUACAAUGGCGCAUACAAAGAGAAGCGACCUCGCGAGAGCAAGCGGACCUCAUAAAGUGCGUCGUAGUCCGGAUUGGAGUCUGCAACUCGACUCCAUGAAGUCGGAAUCGCUAGUAAUCGUGGAUCAGAAUGCCACGGUGAAUACGUUCCCGGGCCUUGUACACACCGCCCGUCACACCAUGGGAGUGGGUUGCAAAAGAAGUAGGUAGCUUAACCUUCGGGAGGGCGCUUACCACUUUGUGAUUCAUGACUGGGGUGAAGUCGUAACAAGGUAACCGUAGGGGAACCUGCGGUUGGAUCACCUCCUUA